UUAGCUAGUAGUCCUUAAUGCUUUUAAGCAUCAGAAAGUGAAAAAUAUCAAAGAACUAUUGCUGCAUUUGAGGAGCUAGAAUGAAGUUUGGUUUGGCUUGAGGAGAAUUGAUGACACCCAGGAGUAUGUGCUGGUUUCCAUUUGGUUCCCAUUCACAGGCAAACGGAAAGUACAUACAGCCUGGGGUAGGUCAGGCCAGCAGAUAUUUAAGUUGUUCAGUAGUGGCUGGGCCUGGGAAUAUGGGGUGAUUUUGAAGAAUUAAGUUCUGCAAAAGAUUCAAGAGUAUAAAGCUGCCUUCAUCUUAGUCAAAUGCAGGCAAUCAAUCUGUCCUUUGCAUGUAAUAAACUGGGACCUUAGAAGUGAAGAUCAAAUAAUCUGGGAUGGAAAAUUGGUUGGAGAAGGUCCAGCCUGACCUACAUGUAGACAUUUCUCCUGCCUUGUCUUGUCUCUUGCUACAAAUCAUCCUGCAAGGAUUAGGUAACAGCAACUUCAAUUCACACACCUUUGAAGGAUGGUGACUUCAGCAUUAUCCACGGUGAAAUUCACAGCCAACAAUCAAUACGUAUUUUCAGGCAAAGAACCAUUAUUCAUUUCUGUUAUCGGACAAUCUCAGGCAGAAAUCAUAUCUUUUGUGACUGGAAUGCACAGCAUUUUCAACUGCUUUAUUACUGCAGCUGAGAAUAGGGCUUUGUGCUGACUGGCAUUUAGCUGCUGAAGUUUUCUGGACUGGCAUUUGCAUUGGGGUAUCCAGGACAAGUGUGGGUUUUGAAGGGAAGGGAACGAGGGGGAGAAGAAGGAAAGAAAGAGCCGUCUGCAGCAACAUAACUAGGAAGAAAUAAAUGGCUUCGGGCAUGCUGGACUUGCGAACACAAAUUUAUGAAGUGACAGCCAGUGUCAUGAUGCUCCUGCCUCAAGAUGGCCUCCCAACCCAGAGCCCGGCUGCUUGGGGGAAGAAAAGAACCAGGCUUUAUUCUGCAGAAUAAAACAACACAGAUGCUGGUGAAUGCACUGUCAGCCCAUGCCUGCCAGCUGGGACCAACAAUAGGAGAGGAGGCACUGGCUGCAUCGCUAACAGAUUUCCAAGAACGCUAUGGGCAGCCAAAAAAGCCAUUUGGGCUUCUUUCUUUUUCCUCUGUUGCCUUUCUGAGAGAUAAAGAGGCUGAUGGAUCACGAAUGGAGACACGAAUUUGAUAACAUUUGGAAAGAGGUUAAUGGAAACCAACGUACAAACUACAGAAUAGGAGAACACGGCAGAUUUCUAAAUGCCAAUAGCAUUUAGAAGCUGCUCUUAAAGAAAAUUUGAAGGUGAGCAGGCGGUGGGCAGAGGAUCUGAAGCAGCUGCAAGGACCUCACAUGAGUUUGGAAAUGUCUUCCUAAUGUGAUGGAUCCUUGCAUCAUUCCACGCAGAUGCCAGGUAGGUGUCCCCGUCCACAGCUCUCUGAGCUCCUGGGAUAAUUUCAAAACAGCAGAGAGUGAGGGCAUGUGCAUCAUUUGACCACAUCAUAGAGGGCACCACUGAUUCGCUGUACUGGCAGUUUGUUUGCUCUA
rnacentral:lncRNA from 1 species